AUACGUAGGGGACAAGCGUUGUCCGGAAUGACUGGGCGUAAAGGGCGCGUAGGCGGUCUAUUAAGUCUGAUGUGAAAGGUACCGGCUCAACCGGUGAAGUGCAUUGGAAACUGGUAGACUUGAGUAUUGGAGAGGCAAGUGGAAUUCCUAGUGUAGCGGUGAAAUGCGUAGAUAUUAGGAGGAACACCAGUGGCGAAGGCGGCUUGCUGGACAAAUACUGACGCUGAGGUGCGAAAGCGUGGGGAGCGAACAGGAUUAGAUACCCUGGUAGUCCACGCCGUAAACGAUGAAUGCUAGGUGUUGGGGAAACUCAGUGCCGCAGUUAACACAAUAAGCAUUCCGCCUGGGGAGUACGACCGCAAGGUUGAAACUCAAAGGAAUUGACGGGG
rnacentral:rRNA from 1 species